GUAGGGAUUUGAUGACAAAAUUGGUUAAGUUAGGGGGAGAACCAAGUUUGAAAAAAUAUCUGGAUCAGGUGACAUCUCUUCUUUUUCUUUCUCUUUUUAUGCACUCUUCAUUUUUUCUACUCCAUUGAGGACAAUAUCGAUUAAGUUGGGGGGGAGAAUAAUAAAAUUUUUUGAAUUUCUAAAAGUCCUUAAGUAAGUUAGUAUUUAGUGUUUAAG
rnacentral:lncRNA from 1 species